rnacentral:rRNA from 1 species
UUUUACGAGAGUUUGAUCCUGGCUCAGGAUGAACGCUGGCGGCGUGCUUAACACAUGCAAGUCGAGCGAAGCACUUACUUUGGAUUUCUUCGGAAUGACGAGGUAUUUGACUGAGCGGCGGACGGGUGAGUAACGCGUGGGCAACCUGCCUCACACAGGGGGAUAACAGUUA